UAAGACAGAGGUGGCGAGCGUUGUUCGGAAUCACUGGGCUUAAAGGGCGCGUAGGUGGUAGUGCAAGUCCGUGGUGGAAUCCGGGAGCUUAACUCCCGAACUGCCAUGGAAACUGCGUUACUUGAGUCAGCGAGGGGAGGGUAGAAUUCCUGGUGUAGCGGUGAAAUGCGUAGAUAUCAGGAGGAAGGCCUGUGGCGAAGGCGGCCCUCUGGUGCUGGACUGACACUGAGGCGCGAAAGCGUGGGGAGCAAACAGGAUUAGAUACCCUGGUAGUCCACGCCCUAAACGGUGGAUACUAGGUGUAGGGCUCGUAAGGGUUCUGUGCCGAAGCGAAAGCAUUAAGUAUCCCGCCUGGGGAGUACGGCCGCAAGGUUGAAACUUAAAGGAAUUGACGG
rnacentral:rRNA from 1 species